rnacentral:rRNA from 1 species
GAUGAACGCUGGCGGCGUGCCUAAUACAUGCAAGUCGAGCGAACAGACGAGGAGCUUGCUCCUUUGACGUUAGCGGCGGACGGGUGAGUAACACGUAGGUAACCUACCUAUAAGACUGGGAUAACUUCGGGAAACCGGAGCUAAUACCGGAUAAUAUUUCGAACCGCAUGGUUCGAUAGUGAAAGAUGGUUUUGCUAUCACUUAUAGAUGGACCUGCGCCGUAUUAGCUAGUUGGUAAGGUAACGGCUUACCAAGGCAACGAUACGUAGCCGACCUGAGAGGGUGAUCGGCCACACUGGAACUGAGACACGGUCCAGACUCCUACGGGAGGCAGCAGUAGGGAAUCUUCCGCAAUGGGCGAAAGCCUGAUGGAGCAACGCCGCGUGAGUGAUGAAGGUCUUCGGAUCGUAAAACUCUGUUAUCAGGGAAGAACAAACGUGUAAGUAACUGUGCACGUCUUGACGGUACCUAAUCAGAAAGCCACGGCUAACUACGUGCCAGCCGCCGCCGUAA